rnacentral:sRNA from 1 species
GCUGGACAUGGUGGCGCAUGCCUGUAAUCCCAGCAGCUUGGGAGGCUGAGACAAGAGGAUCACGAAUUCAAAGCCGGCCUCAGCAAAAGCAAGGUGCUAAGCAACUCAGUGAGACCCUGUCCU